UUUACUCCCAAUUCGCUAUGGCUGUGGUGUUCCGUCCUGUUUUCCCUUCAUUAGUUUGGAUUAAUUUAAUUUCUUGCUGAGAAAUGCUACCUUUUAUCUGAUGCUCAUUUUUCAGAUCCUAGAAGGACCCCAUGUGGUUCUGUCAAAACAAGCCUGACGGGGUGUCCAUUCUGAUUGUAAUGUUAGAAAGCUGCUCUGGAGCUGUGGGUUUUCAAGCAUCUACUUUACUUUUCAGCUACAAACAUCUACUGCAUCCUUGAUCUGGGUUAAUUAUUUUUUAUUAAUAUUAUUAUUUUAGUUUUCUGACUCAACUGACCAUUUACCCUCAAAUAGCCUAUGGGUACAUUUUCACAUCAAAAUCAAAUGAAUGACUGCUUUUUUCAUGGACCAGAAGCUAAGGGAAAGGGUUUGUUUCACAGGUUCCCCCCCCCCCCUCUCCAUAUCUUUGGUUUAGUUGCACAAAGAUGAGCAACUGUGUAUCUCCAGAUGUUGAACUACAAUUCACAGCAUUCUUCAACAGACCAGCAACAAUAUGGGGGUUCCAAUAACCUGCCCCUGCACCAAAAUGGGGAAUGAACUAGCCCAAGAGAGACCAUGUAUAUAAAGAAGGGCAUAUUAGAAAGCAGUGUAUUUUACAAUGCUCAUGCUCAAAGAGUGAGGCUGUUUGAUUGCUCUUGAAUGCUUCCCCAUCACAUUUGGUUCAUCUAUUCUAGGAUGGUAUGCCAUUCCUUGUUGAUGCUGCUGUUGUUGUUCUUUAUCUGAAUCUCCAAAGUAAAGCAGUCUCAAGUGCUUACCCAGGAUUGAAUUUAUUUAUAGCACUUCUGAGAUACAAGCUUUCUAUAAAGUUAUAUAAAGGCUCAACAGAAGGGUCUGAAACCUGCUGAUUAAUUCAACCUACAGGAGGUCUACUGAAUCAAUUUUUGAAUGGUGAAUUAACACAUAGGUAAAUCCUACUGAUUCAUUGGGUCUACUCUAAAUAAGACUAACAAGAGUUCAGGUCAGGAUAAUAAAUUUCCAACCAAUUCCUUCUCCCCGUCAUAUGUCUAAGGAAACCUAUAGCUUCAAAUGAUCUCCUGCAAAGAAAAGAGUCAACUCCCUUCCUCCUUCAUUCUCAUUUUUGAGAAGACACUGCCUGCUGCAUACAGAGACUAAGACCAGAAUUGUGUUGGUGCAUAAGGCCAGCAUAGUUACAGUGGCAAUAGCAGCAGGGGGAGAACGGCUAUGGUCCUGUGCACACUUAUUCAUUUGAAUUAUGUGGGGCUUGCUUCCAAAUAGAUACACAUAAGAUUGUAUUAUAUAAACUUUAAAAUCACUCAGCUUUAGCUAGGUUGUGCCUUUUUUAUUUGUUUCAGCUGUUCCAUCACUCUGGACGAGGUGGAGUUUACUUCCCCACCCCCAUUCCUACUUCUUUUACCUUUCUGCCAUGCCUUUUAGGUUAUAUGCCUGUGAAGAGGUGCUCUUUUCUUUUACAGUAUUUACUGUAAGGAAGUCACCAAUGAAUAGGAUUAAAAAGCCUUUUAAAAAAUGAAUGAAUAGUAUUUGUUAUGGAUAUAAUGCACAUAGAGUUUCCUUUGAGUUGUACAGGUUUCUUCUUAACAUUCAUUUUUAGCUUAGUCAUGUAUAAUUCUAGAAGGAAUUGUCCAGGUUAUUCCAGUUCAACUUUCCUCAAACUGGUGCUGCCCCAAUAUGUUGGGUUGUUAGAAAUUGUCAAAGUUAUUUUUGACAACAACCCCCAGAAUUCCUCAGCUUCCAUGACUGUUGCCAUAGUGGCUGGGGGAUUCUGGGUGUUGUGGUCCCAAAAUAACUUUGCCAAGCUCUGUGGAUGGCAAUUCCUGCCCUCUUCAGGCAGAAUGGCCAGUGGGUGGGAAGAUAGGAGUCAUAAUCAAACACAUCUGGAGGACACAUGGUUGGUGACAAAUAUUCUUGCUUAUGACCCUGGUAUGCUUCUGCUUUCAUUUUCAGCAAAAGACAACACCUGUGGCCUACACCCAAUUGUUAGUCCCAACUAGAGUAGAUCAUUGAGUCAAUGAGAACUUGAUUUGUGUUUGAUCCUCGGAGUCAUAUACACGAUACACGUACAAAGACUACACAAGUUUUUUGCCUUCAGUCUGGCCUUUUUCCAUUCGUCCAUCAUCGGAGUGUCUUCCUUCUUCCAGUGUUUGGCAAAAACAGUUCUUGCAGCAACGAUCAGGUAACAAGCUAAGAAUUUGUUUCCAAGCCAAUUCUGAAGCAAACUUCUUAAAGAGAAAAGGCAGAGAUACACAAAUAGCAUCAGUUUUACAUCUGACAUCUCAGAAAUAAGUCAAGUGGGAGGAAAAAGCACAAGAAGAAGAAAAGUCUCCUGAGUCUUGUUCAUGCAUUAUACUAAGAGCACUUUUCACAAGACAGAAUGGCCCUCAGAGAGGACAAGAUCUUACAUCUAGCAGUGUCAAGGUGUUGAAAAUGGAACCUGCAGAUCUUUUCUCCAAGGCAAGGGCUUCCAUAAGAGACCAUUUCUUUGACCUGGAUCACAGGCAUCAAACAUGUGACAAAAAUCAGCAUACCUUGCAAAUUAUUUUGUUCUACUACAAUUUUUCUGGGACAUUUUGGAAACAGUACAGCAACUUGCCAAGCCUGCUCAACAAGAACUGAAGUAAAAUAAAAGAGAUAAACAUCUACCUGAACAUAGGGUGGAUUUGGUGAGGAAUUGGCCUUAUGUCAUGAAGACAGUACACAUCCACAUUUGGGGUUUUGCCUUAUGUCACUGUUUGGGAGGGAGAGGAGCCACUUCAUUUGGCCCAUGUAAAUAUGCACAUAAAGUCAGUGGUCAACACUUUUUCCAACAGCAACAGAGCAUUUGCUGCCUGCCUUAUUGAGGCAGGGUGAAUGUUCAAUACAAACAUGUGGGGCUGCACCGACUGAGCUGCAGGUGUGCCAUGUCUCUCCCAAAACACUCCAAUCCUGCUAGUAUCCUCAGGGGAGACCCAACACUAGGGCACUUCCACUCUACCCAGAUAUAGCACUUUGAUUCCACUUUAAGUGCCAUGGCAACAUCCUAUGGAAUCUUGGGGCUGGUCAUUGUGUGAAGCACAAUGUAGCAUUGUGGCUAAGAGAUCUAAAUACCCUUCCCUAAACUAUUGAUCCCAGGAAUGCAUAUGAUGAAGACUGGGAUCAGCAGUCAAACUGGAAUCAUAGCACCAUAAUUUUGUAAUGUGAAGGGGCCCCUGUCAAGUUAGAGUAAAACUGAAAGAAAAUGUUCUCUCUCUCUGAACUAUAGGGAGAUAUAGCUGCAAGCUAGAAGUAGGCAACUUGGUGCCAAGCAACUGUUUCAGAUUAUUACCCAUUACUUCCUGUCAGCACAACCAGUGACUGGAGAUAUGCAUGCUUCUGUCUGAAACAUUUCAAGAGGAUGGAAUUCCCUACUCCUGAGGAACACUGCAAUAGUUUCUACAUAUUUCAUUUUUGUAAUUGUCAGCCUCUUUAGUUCUAUGGUCAUUCAGAAUAUUGCUGAUAGCAGUUCUUGAAAUCUAGAAAUCUUCCAGUUAUGCACACCUUGCUAAUACGAUAUAAAUAGUGUUAAAGAUAAACCAAUUAUUUUUAGGAUAUUGGAGUAUAGUCAGCCCUCCAUUUUCAUGGGGGAUCCAUUCCGGUGCCCCCGCAGAAACAGAGACUCGUCAAUAUUCAAGCCCCAUAGGCUUCAAUGGGAUGUGUGCCAACGAGCACACAUAGAGCACAUGCCGUGGGGUCAGCCCCAUUGAAAAUAAUGGAGGUCGCCCUUCCAUGAAUAUGUCUGGGAGAAAGGAAGGGUGACUGUACAUUAAUUAUAAUUGAGUAUUUUAUUUAUUUCAAUUAAGGAUAGAAAUGUUUUACAAAUAUAGAAAUGUACUUUGAAAAUGUUAUCCCGAAUCAUUCCUGUCCCUCAUCUUGUGUAAUGCCUUGUGUACUAAAAUGUAACUGUGCACAUUUGUCACUCCAUAUCACUGGCUCCCACUGUGAAAGAUAGUGAAAAUAGCACACUGACUGAAUGUUUGCAAGAUCAAACUCAGGUGCCCUAGAUCUACUCUCUAUGUUAGAAAGAAGGUGGUUUGAUAGAGACAGGUAAAGAAAAUGAUACCUUCCCAGUAUUUUAUGAUGUCAGGUGAAAAACAGUUAAAUUCUAAGUAAAGAUGAAAAACCAAGUAUCUGAAAUAGGGAUGAAAAGAAUAUUUGAAAGUAUUUGAAUGAGAAAUGAGAAAUGGAUUACCUGCAUGUUGGAAAACCCUGACAACCAUGAUAGAGAUGAAUCUU